AAGUGAGAAUGUCGGCUUGAGUAGCGAAAAAAUGGGUGAGAAUCCCAUUCCCCGAAACCCUAAGGGUUCCUCCGGCAGGCUCGUCCGCGGAGGGUUAGUCAGGACCUAAGGCGAGGCCGAAAGGCGUAGUCGAUGGACAACAGGUCAACAUUCCUGUACCGGUUAUGUUUUGGGAAGAGGGACGGAGAAGGCUAGCCAAGCCAGACGUUGGUUACUGGUUCAAGCGUUCGAGGCGUUGAGGAGCGGUGAAAACGUUCCGAGCUGAGGCGUGAGUACGAGCUGCUACGGCAGCGAAGUUGGUGACGUCAAGCUUCCAAGAAAAGCCCUAUACCCGUUAAGGCAUGAUUACCUGUACCCGAAACCGACACAGGUGGGGUGGUAGAGAAUACCGAGGGGCGCGAGGUAACUCUCUCUAAGGAACUCGGCAAAAUGACCCCGUAACUUCGGGAGAAGGGGUGCCACCGCAAGGUGGUCGCAGUGAAGAGGCCCUGGCGACUGUUUACCAAAAACACAGGUCUCCGCUAAGUCGCAAGACGAUGUAUGGGGGCUGACGCCUGCCCAGUGCCGGAAGGUUAAGGAAGCCGGUCAGCGUAAGCGAAGCUGGCGACUGAAGCCCCGGUGAACGGCGGCCGUAACUAUAACGGUCCUAAGGUAGCG
rnacentral:rRNA from 14 species